rnacentral:lncRNA from 1 species
CUUUUAACAUGAUCCGACCCAGCUGCUUCCUUGAUUUUGUUUUGGAGUGAAUCUCCUCUGCGUCAUCCAGCACCAAGUUCAUAUAUUCAUCAAAGCCAAUGAUGCAGCCUUCUAUCCGCAUGUUCACCUGCUCAUAAAGCCACACCUGGAUCCUUGACCUGUUCUGCAGGUAGCGGAAGAUGAGGUUGAUGGGCUGCACCAUCACCUUCUGCACCUUCUGGCCCUGCCCGCGGUACGCCAUGGCUGCUCCCGACCCGCCGCCACCACACGCUCCCGCCGCCACACUCUCCACCGGAAGUCGCAGCGCGCACCGGAAGUCGCUCAGCAGGGCGGGAGCGCGCAGGGGACGCUGGGAUGCUGGAAGACAGCCUACGCGGCCGCUAUAGGAAGGCGGGAGGACCGCGUCUCUACUGCUCCCGCCGCGCACGUAUAGGUCGCACCACUGCUGUCCCGCACCGGAUUAAUUUAAUAACGCGGCUGAGAGCUGCUGGGGCGAGCGGAGGAAUCAGACUACGACUACGCGAAUACAAUAUGUUAAAUAGAAUACAAACAUGAAAUGGAAGCAAUAAAAUAUUUGCAGGAACAAAGGCAUACACAAAAUCCAGUCUCAACGGCGCGCCAGGCACCGUCACAGCCCCCCUACGCCCCGCGCUCUGCCAGCUGUCCCCCCCCCCG